ensembl:lncRNA
GGGUGGGCUGCGGGGACGAGAAAGGGCUGAUCUUCUAGACGGGGCUCCCAGAAAGUGAGGGGAGAGAGUUUUCGGAGUGCCGGGGCGGUGGCCGGACCGUGAGCCUUUCCUCGUGGAAUCCUUCUCCCGCCGAGGUUACCACAAACAGCAGGGAUCGAAAGCGACUAAGGCAGCGUGUGCUGCGAGGAUAUUGAUCUGAAAGCAUGUCCAGAAGCUUUGGAUAACUCCUAACCUUGUCCAAACCAAGGAAAUAAACAGUUGAAACUGCAAGAGGAGGAGGAGGAGAAAGAAGGAUUUGGAAGCCUCUUUUGCAAGGAUAGAAGAGGAAUGGUGACUUAUGACUAUAAAAGAUGCCCUUGUUCACCUUCCCAGAAAUUUCUGCCCCAGCAUAGUUUGUGUAGUUGAAAUGUCCUAAGGGUUACCCAGAUUACUUAUAAUAAAUCUUUCACUUCUCAAUUUUAUUUUGAAUGUAUUGCAUUUGUGACAAAGGAUUUUUAUUUUUAUUUUUGGCUUGCAAACACUUAGUCAUCAAUACUAUAUUACGGUGCUUUCAUCAUUUAUGUCAGUCUUUGUGUUCAGCGAAUUACAUUUGGGAAAUUUGGUUGUUCAGAUCUUUAUGUAUGCUUUGUAACCAGAAGGCAGAAAAAUAAUAUUAUAGUGAAAGAAGUUCACUUUGUCUUUUGUUCUGUUUGAAAGCUACUGUGAAAAGAGGGUUGAGAACAUCAGGUUUUGUUUUCUUCUGGGUCGCUCUGUUUGUUGCUGCCCUGGCACUUUGGCUUUUUUCACACUAGUGGGUGGUGCAGCCCCAAGGAGGAGGAAAGCCUGGUUUUGCUUUUUUGGGACAGAGUACAGCACUAUUGCUAUGGGAUUAUUCUACUCAACUCUGCCAUCAGAAAUGAAGACUCGAUGGCAGGAUCAGCAAUUCUGUUUCACAGUAUUGUGCUCUGUUUCCUCCUGGACUUGGGGUUUUUGUUUGGUUUUUUUUUUUACCUCCUUUUGUAUAAGAUAACCAUGCUUUAAGAAGUGGGGGUUUUGGUUUU